rnacentral:lncRNA from 1 species
AAGGCUUUUAAAGAUACCAGAAAACACCUGUGAAGCUGGAGGUGACCAUUCACCAAAUUCGAAUCCCUCUAAUGAUCCGCAGCGUAAAAUCCCUGGAGAAGGUGUGUGCUGACUUGAUUCAGAGGAGGAAAGGAAAAGAAUGUCUAAGUGAAGGGACCAGUUUGAAUGCCUGCCAAGACUUUGAGAAUCACUAUAAGAAAAUCUCCUUGUGGUGAAGGUUCAGAGACAUGGGAUCGUUUCCAGAUGAGAAUCCACAAGCUACCCACUGACUUGCACAGUCCUUCUGAGAUUGUUAAGCAGUUGACUUCCAUCAGUGUUGAGCCAGGAAUUGAGGUGGAAGUCACCAUUGCAGAUGCU